rnacentral:miRNA from 1 species
CUGGACGAGUGAGUGUGUGUGUGUGUGUGUGUGUGUGUGUGUGUGCGCGCGCGUGCGCACACAUGAACACACACGCAAAAGCACACACU